UUUAAAUGUUUUGCUUUUAUUCUCAUAUUGUUGUAGGUCAGUUUAUAUUUAAAUAGUCAUUCGUGUUAACUAAUAAAAUGUAAUCCUUCCGUAUACUUGAACAUUAAUUUUAAAAAUGACAUACAUUGCGUUUGACCUUUAACCCCUUAAAGACACAUGACAGAAGUUGGGUCCUUAAGGGGUUAAGUAAGCAACGUUUUGGACUUGGUCACAAUAAAGUUAAAACGUGAGAUAUGAAUUUCUGCCCGAGCUAACCAGAGAAUUGCAAUGUGCGGGGUCUUAUCUAAUCAGGCCCAAUGUGUGUUAUAUAU